rnacentral:rRNA from 1 species
GACGAACGCUGGCGGCGUGCCUAACACAUGCAAGUCGAGCGGGGGGAGUAAUUAGGCACAAACCUAGCGGCGGACGGGUGAGUAACACGUUGGUAAACUGCUCCAAAGUGGGGGAUAGCCUUCCGUAAGGAGGAUUAGUAACGCAAAAACUCUAGCUUCAGGAUGGAAGCAUUGGUAAAGAUUUAUCGCUUUUAGAUGGACCCGCGGCGCAAUACCUAGUUGGUGAGGUAACGGCUCAGCAAGGCCACGAUGCGUAGCCGACACGAGAGGGUGAUCGGCCACAUUGGAACUGAGACACGGUCCAGACUCCUACGGGAGGCAGCAGGGGGAAAUAUUGCACAAUGGGCGAAAGCCUGAUGCAGCAACUCCGCGUGAGUGAUGAAGGCCUUCGGGUUGUAUAGCUCUGUCUUUUGGGACGAUAAUGACGGUACCAAAGGAGGAAGCCACGGCUAACUACGUGCCAGCAGCCGCCGUAAAAC